GGGUCAGUAGGUCGGUCGUGCCACUGGUAUGAACUGGUUUUACUGAUUCCUCCCUCUUGAAGAACUGUAAUGCCAUUAAUUUGGUGUUUUGGGGAAUCAGGACUGUUACUUUGAAAAAAUUAGAGUGUUUAAAGCAGGCUCACGCUUGUAUACAUUAGCAUGGAAUAACGGAAUAGGACGUUUGAUUCUAUUUUGUUGGUUUCUAGGAUCGACGUA
rnacentral:rRNA from 1 species